rnacentral:lncRNA from 1 species
CAUUCUAUGGUGUUCACUAAAGUUCUCAGACCCCUCUAAGAAAUGCUCAAGAGCAUAGCUGAAGAGCACACCCCUGAAAUUCUGGGAGGUUCCAAGCAUUCCUGAGGCAGAUGCAGCCUGCUCUGGCUGCCUCAGGCUCCUCUUGCUGUCUUUCCCAUCAUGAUGGACGCCUCUGUGGUGGAAAGUCUGCACGGCAUGGGGGUGCACUCAUUUACCCAGUCAGAAGCAAGCAGUGCUGUGUACCUGGCUUUGACUGGAGGUUGAGACUCUUCAGUGGCAGCCCUAGAACUCACUUCUUCAUCAGGAAGAAAGCAUCAAGGACAGCCCCACCCGCAUGUGGCUUCCUGUAUCUGCCAUGAAGCACCGCAGACAUUUAAAAGGAGGAAAGGCUUAUUUUAGUCACAGUCCCAGAACUUUCAUCCCUGAGCUGCUUGACUGGUUGCCUCUGUGGUGGGUUCAAAUGCCGUGGUGGGAGUAUGUGGUGGAGCAAAGCUGUUCAUGCUACUCACGGAGGCCAGGGGAGAAAAGGCAAGGGGGUGGGAAGUGGGCCCCAAUAUCUGCCUAAAGACCUGUACCCAAUGAUAUAGUUCUAUUAGUUCCAGAUGCUGCUAUGUUCCCAACUACCCCCAUAGCGACACUGUGUAGGUCCCAGGGACUUAAGUCACCAGGCUUGGUGUUAGGUGCUUUUGCUCUCUGAUCACCUCUCUCCAGCAUGAACAUUAUCUAUUAGGGUAUGGGGAGGAAUGAAAAUAAAUACUUAUGCUAACUAUACCAUCCUUACCUAAACCUUUGCUAAAAAUACUAAAUAAUCCACAUUUUCUCCCAACAUAAAAAGAUUACCUUUCUCGUCUACUACAUUUUUAUAUUCACUGGGCUGUAGUUUGGAAUUCUUUGUCUAAAAGUCUAACUUGUCAAGGUCAUGUUUAUUGUAUUAUAACACCUUUCCC